CGAAGUGGCUGCAGAGGUGUCUGCAUUCAGCUGUUGUCUCAGACCAAGUGAUGUGUCUCAGAGAUGUCUCCCUCAGGUUUUGAUUUCGGGUACAGCCUACUGAUAUUUAAGGGAAUAAAGGGAUUUAAAAGCCCUCCCUAUCCUACUAUGAAAGACAAGGAGGUCAGUCCACAUAUGUGAUCCCCCACUUUCUUUCCACACCCCAAUUCAUGAGUUUGAUGAAUUACAUUGUUAUGUAUUAUCAAGCUCAGAAAGAAGCCAGCUGUCAUAUUGUGAGCUGCUUUAUGAAAGUGCCAUGUGGCAAGGAUCUGAGGACAGCCUCCAGCCAGCAGCCAGAAAAAAACCCGAAACUCUGAAUUCAACAGCUCUUGAGGAAUGGAAUCCUGCCAACAACCACGAGUGAGCUUGGAAAUGGAUCCUCCCCUAUCGAGCCGUGAUAUGACUGUAGCUGCUGUAGACAUCAUGGUUCCUGCCUUAUGAGAGACCCUGAGGUAGAGGCCCCAGCUAAGCUGCAUUUAGAUACCUGAUUUACCAAAAACCAUGGGAUAAUACAUGUUUUUC
rnacentral:lncRNA from 13 species